GAUGAACGCUAGCGGCAGGCCUAACACAUGCAAGUCGAGGGGCAUCAUGGCGUAGCAAUACGCUGAUGGCGACCGGCGCACGGGUGCGUAACGCGUAUGGAACCUACCCACCGCAGGGGGAUAACCCGCCGAAAAGGCGGACUAAUACCCCAUGGUUCCCCGACCCUGCCUGGGGUUGGGGGUAAAGCCUACGGGCGGCGGUGGAUGGCCCUGCGUGCCAUUAGCUGGCUGGUGGGGUAACGGCCCACCAGGGCGACGAUGGCUAGGGGGUCUGAGAGGACGAUCCCCCACACUGGUACUGAGACACGGACCAGACUCCUACGGGAGGCAGCAGUGAGGAAUAUUGGUCAAUGGGCGAAGCCUGAACCAGCCAUCCCGCGUACAGGAAGACGGCCCUAUGGGUUGUAAACUGCUUUUCCAGGGAGAGAAACUUACGCACGUGUUGCGUGACUGACGUACCUGGGAAUAGCAUCGGCUAACUCCGUG
rnacentral:rRNA from 1 species